GCAUACACUUUGAACCAUUUGCGGAAAAAAGUUUGAAAAGUUUUUAAUUUCAUUGAAGUGACUUACAAAAUUGGGCCGAAGCCCGAUUAUAAAAUUAGACCGAAGCCCGAUCACAAAUAUCAAAGACAAAACAAAAGCAAAAGAAUACAAAGAUAAUGGGGCGGACACUCUGACUAUUCAUCAGAAUCGACUUCCUGCAUCGGGG
rnacentral:lncRNA from 1 species